rnacentral:snoRNA from 1 species
AUGCCAUGAUGAGGCCAUUUUCGUAAUAACUCAUUGAACUGCUCCCAUACCUCAUAUAAAGUUUCUUCGUCAAGUUGCUGAAAUGAAGUGAUUUCGUUUCAGAUCUU